GGGGAACUGGGUCUGAGUUCACUGCCUUGACAAUGAAUUUCAAUCUUAUGCUAUGUCCUUCCUUGAAGGUCAGAAGAGGCUCAUUAAAGCUGAGAGCAAUGUAACACCAUAAAUUCCAGGUUUGCACUUUGGUGACAGACCCAUCCAAGCAUCAAUUGUUAAUGACAACCUGCUCCAUGUGACUAUGAGCUCUGAACUUCAUGAAAGCUGAUAUAAACUAAUCCAACUGAUGCAAAUGCUGUUUCUUCAGCUGGUCAAUGAACCAGAGUUUUCUAAAUUGCCUCCUUACCUUUGACUAACAUUCUAGCCUUCUAAGGCCCUGACAAUGUCAGGGACAAGGACAGAAUCUCUAAGGACAGGCAACUAGAUCAUCUUACAGUCAGGUUGCCUAGCAAGAAGACAUUGAGGUAGAGCCCUUGACCCUUUCAUUCUGUAAACAUCCUAUACAAACAUCCUGUUAGCCUGCCCCACCUUAUGCAAAUAACAGCUUCUUGCUCCCCCCACCCUGCAGGAACUAUAUAAACCCUCUUGGAGAAAAAUAAAGUGGCACCUUGAUCAGAA